GGUACACAGUGUCAUGGAAGCCCUGAGGAGAAGAGAGUGCUGCUGCUGGGCAGGGCUGCAGAAGAUUUGAGAAAGGAGGUGAGACUGGAGCAAAGAGACCUUGCUUGAAAACCCUGAAACUUGAGUGGGAUUUUUACCAGAUGGAGAUGGAGGGGUACCCCAACAGGAGCCAAGGCCUAGAGUUCUAGAGUGGGGGCGCUGAGCUCACAGUUGUAGGAGUCGGGGAAGAGCAGAAAUCUGCCAGAAAUCUGCCUCUGAUCCUUGACCAGCCCAAGCCUCUGCAGCUGACUUAGAAGCUUCCAGGUUGGUUUGUUUGUUUAACCGAGGGC
rnacentral:lncRNA from 1 species